CUUGGUGGUCAUAGCGCUUGUGCCCCACCCGGUCCCAUCCCGAACCCGGAAGUGAAACCAAGUCACGCCGAUGGUACUUCGUCUUAAGGCGCGGAAGAGUAGGUCGCUGCCAGGU
rnacentral:rRNA from 1 species